rnacentral:rRNA from 1 species
AUUGAACGCUGGCGGCAGGCCUAACACAUGCAAGUCGAACGAGUGGCGGACGGGUGAGUAAUGUCUGGGAAACUGCCUGACGGAGGGGGAUAACUAGUGGAAACGGUAGCUAAUACCGCUUACGAUCAUGUGUGCCCAGAUGGGUUUAGCGUGUUGGUGGGGUAACGGCUCACCAAGGCGACGGGCCCUAGCUGGUCUGAGAGGAAGAGCAGCCACCCUGGAACUGAGACACGGUCCAGACUCCUACGGGAGGGAACAGUGGGGAAUAUUGCACAAUGGGCGCAAGCCUGAUGCAGCCAUGCCGCGUGUAUGAAGAAGGCCUUCGGGUUGUAAAGUACUUUCAGCGGGGAGGCGUUACCCGCAGAAGAAGCACCGGCUAACUCCGUGCCAGCAGCCGCGGUAAUAC